rnacentral:lncRNA from 1 species
GACACCGGGGGGUGGGGGCGCCGGGGCCGGCGUGCCCUCAGCCCGGGCGGGCCCCUAGAGCUGGUCGGCCGCGUGGACCUUCUGGUGGCGGAGGAGGUGCGAGCUGCCGCGGAAGGCCUUGCCGCAGCGGCCACACUCGUAGGGCCGCUCGCGCGUGUGCGUCUUGUAGUGCUCGAUGAGCGCCGCGCGGUGGCGGAAGGCCUUGCCGCACUCGUUGCAGCCGCAGGGCUUGCGGCCCGUGUGGAUGCGCUGGUGCUGGAUGAGCGCCGAGCUGUGGCAGAAGGCCUUGCCGCACUGGCCGCACUCGUAGGGCUUCUCGCCCGUGUGGAUGCGCUGGUGCUCGAUGAGCGACGCGCUCUGGCUGAAGGCCUUGCCGCACCUGCGGCGCUUCUCGCCCGUGUGCGUCUUGCGGUGCUCGAUGAGGUUGGAGCUCUGGCUGAAGGCCUUGCCGCAGUCCUCGCAGGCGUACGGCUUCUUGCCCGUGUGGACGCGCUGGUGCCGCAGCAGGUGCGAGCGGUGGCUGAAGGCCUUGCCGCAGUCCUCGCAGGCGUGCGGCCUCUGCAGCGAGUGGGUCUUGCGGUGCUGGCUCAGGCCCGAGCUCUGGUUGAAGGCCUUGCCGCACUCCUGGCACGCGUAGGGCUUCUCCCCGGUGUGGAUCCGCUGGUGGGUGGCCAGCUGCGAGCUGAUGCUGAAGGCCGCUGGCCGCACAGGAAGGGCUUCUCGCCGGUGUGCACGCGCCGGUGCUCCAGGAGGCUUGCGCUCCAGCUGAAGGCCUUGCCGCACUCGCCGCACUCGUACGGCUUCUCGCCGGUGUGGAUGGCCUGGUGCCGGAGCAGGUGCGAGCUCUGGCUGAAGGCCUUGCCGCACUCGCCGCACUCGUACGGCUUCUCCCCGGUGUGAAUUCUCUGAUGCUGAAUGAGGUGUGAGCCCUGGACAAAGCCCUUCCCACACUCAUCGCACUUAAACGGUUUUUCUCCAGUGUGAGUUCUCUGGUGGCGAAUAAGUCGUGAGCUGCAACCAAAGGCUUUAGUCAGGUCUGAUUUCUGGAGGAAGGUUGGGCCGAACGGCUCGUCGUCCUGGGCCCUGUCUCCCGAGGGGAUGCUCUGAGGCGGAACGGGGCUGGAGCACAGAUCGAAGUCCCCCCGGUAAUCGUCCUGCUCCCCGCCUUGCUCCCUGAGAGGGAUCUCCUUGUAGAUGACGGCCAUCUGCUCCAGAGCCCUCCCCUGAAGAAAAGGGGCCCCCAGGUCUUCCUCCGCGAACAGGUCUGUCUGCAUGUCCAGCCCGCCGGCAAACACGAAAGCCUCACCCAGCUUGGCCGCCGGGGGGAUCUCCACGGAGGGGCCAGUCAUCCCAGUGGCUGGAUCUGUCUGGGACACACACAGCUGCUCUCGGAUUCUGGAAAGAAAACGAGAGACGCUGUCACGUCAGCAGGUCAAGCACCGAGUAGGAGCCAGAGCCCAAAGGAGAUGGAACCAAGGACACAACCUUGCCCUCGAAGACGGUCCUGGAUGAGCCAGAGAUAAGCCAGAGACUUCCCAGAAACACGUGCAAGGGAGACGCUGGCAUCCAGACUCUAAGGGUUCAGGGCGCCGGAAAGAUGGGCGAGGACAUGAAGGGGAGCCAUUCUGGAAGGGGGGCGGGAGUCCGGCCCGCUCCUCCCUCCGCCUGACUGGUCGCCCACCGCUGGCUUCUCACAUGCCACAUGCUCGUUUUCCCAGACUCAGUCCAAACGCCCCUCUUCUCUGCACCCUCAGACCCUGACAAUCCCGGGCAAUCUCAGCCACGUGGCCCCGGAGAUGCGGGACACGCACCCAUCACACUGGGCACCCACGGGGCAGGCGUCCUGGCAGGACCCUCCGCCGCGCUGCCUGUGAGCUCCCCAAGGGCAGGUCCGGGUUCCUCUGAACUGGAAGCCCCAGCUCCCAGCCCAGCCGCUCCACCUCUACAGGCACAUGUCCGUUGAGUAAAUAAGUGACUCAUCGGAGGAAAAGCCGUUUGCUUUUGUGCUAGUACUGCGUGCCACACUUUUAUUUUUUGCCAAAGAACUUUGUAUUCAAUCAAGUCAAUUAUCUCUGAGCUAUGGUUUUUCCAGCAGCCAUGUACGGACGUGAGAGUUGGAUCAUAAAGAAGGCUGAGUGCCGAAGAAUUGAUGCUUUCGAACUGUGGUGUUGAAGACUCUUGAGAGUCCCUUGGACUGCAAGGAGAUCAAGUCACUCAAUCCUAAAAGAAAUCAACCCUCAAUAUUCAUUGGAAGGACUGAUACUGAAGCUGAAGGUCCAAUACUUGGCCACCUGAUUCAAAGAGCUGACUCACUGGAAAAGACCCUGAUGCUGGGAAAGAUUGAGGUCAAGAGGAGAAGGGGACAACAGAGGAUGAGAUGGUCGGAUGGCAUCACCGGCUCAAUGGACAGGAGUUUGAGCGAGCUCCGGAGAUGGUGCAGGCAGAAGGCCUGGUGUGCUGCAGUCCACGGGGUCGAAGAGUUGGACACAACUGAGCAACCGAACAACAAUCUAGGAGAUUCAGAUAAGCACAACAGACAAAAGCAGGGCUGCUCUGGUGGAAGCGGGUGUUUCCACGGGGACAAGCAAAGGAGCGGGGAACACCCGCACUCAGCCCCCAGUGCCACUGUGGGAGCCCCGCAGGGCCCCAUUCAGAAACCGUGCGAGCUCCAAGGAGGCUCCUGAGCCCACUCAGCCCCCAGUGCCACUGUGGGAGCCCCGCAGGGCCCCAUUCAGAAACUGUGCGAGCUCCAAGGAGGCUCCCGAGGCGCCACGAUGGGGCCAGCUCGAGGCUGCCGAGCACCUGCGGCGUACAAGGCACUACUAGGCCUUCUCCCAGCGCGCCUCAUUUGCUCCUCAGGGCUCCAUACGAAGGUACACCUGCCCGAACACGGAAGUUCAAAGAGGAAUGGCCUCAAGAAGACAUGGGAAAUUCACCAGGAUAGUCAUGGGGGAACUCAUUCCCAGUUGGAAUCUUUUCACUAAAAUGUUUACUGGAGUCUAGCUGAUUUACAAUGUUGUAUUUGGGGGUUCUGAACCUGUAUUUGAUCUUUAUUUGGAGGAUAAUUACAGUACUGUGUUGCUUUCUGCCAUAUGUCCACAUGAAUCGCCCACAGGCACACUCGUGUCCCCUCCCUCUUGAGCCUCCCUCCCACCCCUCUAGGCUGUCACAGAGGAAGGGUUGUUUUGUUUUCUUUUGAGUGAAUUUUCAGCCAGGUGUGGAGCAUCCGAGGUCAGGGGCAACGGUCUGGAGGAGCUUUAUUUAAUUUUAAUGGGGUGGUGGCCCUGAGGAGCCACCCCAUGCCUGAGGCCACAGGCCGCGCCCGAGGCCAGGGGUGGUGGCCGGGAAGAUCAACCCACCUCCAAAGAGCGGUGGCUGCGCUGGUGCAGGAGGGCCUAGAGGAGCUAUCCCACGUUGAAGGUCAGAAAGGGCGGCAGU